AGUUUGGUCUUGCAGGCUUCUUUCCCUAAACACAACACAAGCUGUCAAAAUCACAGCAAGAGGGUUAUAAUUCUGAAUCUAAUCCUAGUCUGCAAAUCAAAUCAAACACAGAAGAUGAAGAGGAAAAGAUUCCUUACCUGUCCAUUUUUGUUGUCUCGAAGAAAAUAGAGAGAGAAGAAAGAAAGCCAAAUCAAAAGCAAAACCCCUAAUUUCAGCCACGGAAGCUUCAAUCUGCUAUUUUCUUUAUUACCCAGAUGGCAAGAAAAAUAGCAAACAGAAGAGUGACUAACCACUUUGGGAACACAGUGUUGCAGAUAACUCCAACACUCACUCCAAGAAGCAAG